GUCCACGCCCUAACGAUGAUGACUAGUUGUUGGAGGAGUUAAAUCCUUUAGUAACGCAGCUAAUGCGAGAAGUCAUCCGCCUGGGGAGUACGGUCGCAAGAUUAAACUCAAAGGAAUUGACGGGGCCCGCACAAGCGGUGGAUGAUGUGGUUUAAUUCGAUGCAACGCGAAAACCUUACCUACCCUUGACAUGUACGGAAUCCUGCAGAGAUGCAGGAGUGCCCGAAAGGGAGCCGUAACACAGGUGCUGCAUGGCUGUCGU
rnacentral:rRNA from 1 species